rnacentral:lncRNA from 1 species
CCGGCACAAGGGUUUAACCCAUUGCGCCAUUGCGACUCCUAAUAAUAAGACUGAUAAUCCAAAACAUCUGGAGAUCAUGAGUUUGGAAAUAAUGGUAUAUGUUGAAUGACAAUCACUCUCCAGCAUUCCAGCUAAAGGUUUUCCUAUUACUUGCUAAUAAUAAUUUAAAAUUUAAAUUUAAGUUUGCACUUGGGAUCUUCUGAAUACAAAGGAAGAACUGUCCCAAUGACUUCUGAUUUCUGCACCUUCACUACAAGAUUCUUAUAAUGAAGAGUUGCUUGAUAUAUAUUAUCUAUAUUACACCUUAAGGAUUUGAAUCUAGAAUAAAAGGAAGCUUACAAAUAAUCUAAGCAUAUGAAUGAAUUGAACCACAAUAAACAAUAUUAAAAUAUCACACUUCAUAUGUUUUGCAGACCCUGUGGGAGAAACGUAAUGCCCUUUGUCCCCACCAGAGCUUGACCCAGCGGAUAUUGGUGCCUGAGUCAAACAACAAAUGCAAUAUUUCCAUGCAUACAUCUGUCAAGUUUCAUCAUACAGAAAGGCAACCAAAUUACUUUGGUACAUGAGGCAAAACAUCUCAUGAGAAACUCCCUGCAAUCCUGACAGUAAAAUACAAUAAUAACAAGACCCCAGCUGUGGAUAGCUUCGAUGCUUCCCUAAUUGGGAGAGAUACUGAAAACAUUACUCCCGUGGUAGAACCAGAUGUCCCAAGUUCUCCAGGGAAUGUAUCCUUUAACAGAAGGGAGUUUCUGCAUCACCAGAGAUCAGAAAAACAAGGGCUUCGAAGGAGUCAACGUUUGACAUCUAGAGGGGAUAAUGGAUAGGAGAUUCCCUUGGGAACCUUUGGGGAGUUUGGUUUCCCUUCGCUGAGUUUAGAUCUAAGUUCCAUAAAAGUGUCCUACACUGUGAACAAUUUGCGGUGUCAACGUAGCUAUCUCCUGAGAACACUUCACUGACUCCAGUUCCCUGAUUUCACCAAGCCAAGACUCCUGUUCCUGGCGGCCAAGCCGAGCCGCGACUCCCGAUUUAAACCGGAGUAAAUUCACGUCCUUGCCUUGUUCCUGAAUCCAGAUUGCUUUUAGCUUCAUCUUGUUCCUGCCUUGAUAUCAAAGACUUCCUAGUGACUUUGGACCUUGUCAUUCACUCUUGCUUUCUUGUUGUUUCCCCGCUCAAGAACUUCACACCAGUUUUGAGCGUGUUUCGGUUUCUGGACUUUGGACAAUAAUAUUGGACAUAUCUCUUCAACUCAUUGGACUAAUUCAUACCUUAUCAUAAAGAACUAUCACUCACUCAUCCUUUCCACUUUUUCAUUCCUGAAUUUAGAAUUGUUUUAAUAAAGAUAUUAUAUCUAGUUUCCAGUGCUCACGCUGCCUUGGGGUGCAACAUUGCCUU